rnacentral:rRNA from 1 species
AGUGAACGUUGGCGGCGUGGAUUAGGCAUGCAAGUCGAGCGAGAACCGUAGCAAUACGGGGACGGCGGCGAAAGGGACAGUAAUGUGUAGGUACCUACCCCGAGGUCUGGGAUAGCUGCGGGAAACUGCAGGCAAUACCGGAUAAUGUCUUCGGACCAAAGGUGUGAUUCCACCUUGGGAGGGGCCUGCAUCCUAUUAGCUAGUUGGCGGGGUAAUGGCCCACCAAGGCGACGAUGGGUAGCGGGUGUGAGAGCACGACCCGCGUCAUUGGGACUGAGACACUGCCCAGACGCCUACGGGUGGCUGCAGUCGAGGAUCUUCGGCAAUGGGCGAAAGCCUGACCGAGCGACGCCGCGUGCGGGAUGAAGGCCUUCGGGUUGUAAACCGCUGUCGUAGAGGAGGAAAUGCAGGUGGGUUCUCCCAUCUGUUUGACCUAUUCUAGGAGGAAGUACGGGCUAAGUUCGUGCCAGCAGCCGCAGUAA